GGCAAAGAAAUGCAAAAAUGGCGAACCUUGUGACAAAGAGGUUGGAUCUUCCGGUGCGAAAAUUGGUAAUCAGACAGCAAAUUUUGCUGUCCAUUCCAACAUUAUAACAGAAGACAUAAUGCUUGGGGUAUUUACGACCAAAGGUGCGCAAGACUCAGACAAAGCCAGGAUAAAGUUAUCAGUCCAAAAGAAUUCCAAGCAAGUGAAAAGUAGGAGGAAGUCACUGAGGCAUCUCAGAAAGAAGUUUCUGGACAAUGCUGAGGACUUGGAAGGGGUAACUUAUGAAGCAGGUAGCUUCUAAGCCUUCUAAGUUGCAGAUGAACUGGAAGAAACUUUACAUUGGAUUUUCUUAUUUUCGCAUUUUUGCAAUAGUCAGUGAUUUUUGUGACACUAUAAAUUUGUAAAUAUUUGAUGCAGAGGCUUGAUAUUUGGCAUACUUACUAACUAUAUUAUCCUCUAUUAUGUGACACUCUUGAAUUUUUAAUGCUGUUUAUAUUUAAUGAAUUAAAGCCAAAUUUCUUUCAAA